UCAACCACACAGACCCAUAAACACGGAGUCUCUCACCCUGGUUGGGAAAGAUCAGAAUUGACACUUCAGGAUUAACCCAAUGACCUAGGGGGGAAAACAGGCCAGUUGGCGCCAAAUCUGAAAAACCAGAUGCCUGCCAUAAAUUCCUUGGCUUUCUUUACAGAGCAGAAGGAAGAAGAUGCCUGAAAAUGGUUUAACUUCAUGUUUAAUGGACACUUCACCAGGAUUUUCUGUCUGUACACCACAUUCUUAAUGAAAUGGUCUUUUUCCCAAUUCUGUAACAUAUCCACAAGCCAAACUGUUAACUUCACAAAUUUAUUCCAGGUUUUCCAUGGACCAAGAGCUCCUCCUAGUGGUGAUGCCUGAAUAUGGUUUGAUCAGAGCCAAAUGGCAGGAAUCUAAUCACGUGUAUUUCUUUCCUUUUGUUAUACACUUCGUAGCUUAGUAAAUGGUAUUCCCAAGAUAGGCUAGUAGUUUAGAAGUAGUAACGUGAAACUCGUUUAGACUCAAGUUAAGAGUUUCGGAAUGUAUCCAUACUAUGUUUUAUCUACCUCACACAAAAAUAUAUAUUAAUCAUCUAGGAAGCUUGAUUGACAAGGUUAUAAUGUUGUCAAAUAUUAUUACAUAUGUGUUUCUUAUGCUGGAUGGUGUUUCUGUUCGAAUAGAUAAUUUGUUUUCUGUCCCUCUCUAACUUUUAAAAGUCGUUAAUCCUCUGUUAGUGUCAAGAAGACGGCUGAUCAAAGUUUACUGUUUUCAAUGUCAUGCUUUAAUGCGUCUGCUCAUAAGAAACAAUGAAGUGAAAUGUGAUCGUAUGUGAUGUUACAAACAGUUUAAUCAUAGUGAGUGAGUA